rnacentral:lncRNA from 1 species
AAGUAUCUUCCCAUUUACUCUGUUAGGGAUGAACUGUUGCAGGUUUGUUUUUUCCUGUGUAUAUUGCUUGCUAGUUGCCUCCGUAAGGAGCUUGGUUAAGUAUGUAAUUUUAGUUAUUGGGGUCGUGGUCAACUCUAACUGAUAGUUUUUUUCUGUUGAGUGCUUACUCUGUCCAAAUUGCAUGUUCUGUAGGUGGUACGUGAAAAUCAGGUAGUAGUUGUUGUUGGUGAAACCGGGUCAGGAAAGACAACACAACUUACACAGGUUUUUUCCCUUCUCUUGUUCUUGUUCAUUGCAGUCAUCUAAUUAAUCCACGAAUGCCCUCGUCUAAUCCUCUUCUUGCUUUGUGUUGGCAGUAUCUGC